rnacentral:rRNA from 1 species
GCAAGGUUGAAACUCAAAGGAAUUGACGGGGGCCCGCACAAGCGGAGGAGCAUGUGGUUUAAUUCGAUGAUACGCGAGGAACCUUACCUGGGCUUAAAUGCUUAAUGACGUACUAGGAAACUGGUAUUUCUUCGGACAUUUUGCAAGGUGCUGCAUGGUUGUCGUCAGCUCGUGCCGUGAGGUGUCGGGUUAAGUCCCAUAACGAGCGCAACCCCUAUUGUUAGUUGCCAUCAGGUUAAGCUGGGGACUCUAACAAAACUGCCCGCGUAAGCGUGGAGGAAGGUGGGGAUGACGUCAAAUCAGCACGGCCCUUACGUCCAGGGCUACACACGUGCUACAAUGGCCGAUACAGAGGGCAGCCACUUGGUGACAAGGAGCAAAUCUCAAAAGUCGGUCUCAGUUCGGAUCGGAGUCUGCAACUCGACUCCGUGAAGUUGGAUUCGCUAGUAAUCGUAGAUCAGCAACGCUACGGUGAAUACGUUCCCGGGCCUUGUACACACCGCCCGUCAAACAAUGGAAGCUUGGGGUACCUAAAGUCCGUAACCGUAAGGAGCGGCCUAGGGUAAAACAAGUAACUGGUGUUAA